GGAGAGCGUAAUGCUGCGACCGCUGGUUACUGCUACUGCUACAGCUACAGCUACAGCUACAGCUACUGUUACUGUUAUUGUUAUUGUUAUUUGGGGAGUGUGAUAGGGGCGCAGUAACUUGGCCCACACCGACGACGCGACAGUUUUGAACGGAACUUGCUGGUGCUUGGAUCGCAGCUCCGCCGAUCUCCGCGAGGUUGAAACCAACGACUUCGAUUUCGUCGCUCAAAUCACAUAUCACAAAUCGCCAAAUACAAAAGCCUAGUUGUGCACAUCUAUAUAUUUUUUUUCUGUUUGUUUUCCGUUUGCGUGCUAAACCAUUUGUGCUGGUGAUCUUCGUGUGGAACAUAAAAACCUAAUAUUCCGAAUUUUCAAGCCGUGUUUCCAAAAGACUAAUUGCAACAGUUUCCGUGUCUGCAAUCCAUUCAAUCGAGUUUGGCAGCUGUUCCUCCAACACAACCGCAUGGCCAUGUCCCGCAUCCGCAACCGAAACCGAAUCCUUGUGCCCAUGCAGCAGCUGCUCCUCCUGCCACUGCUGCUCCUCGUCCUCCUGGUCGUGGGCAAGGCAGCGGCGGGCUCCUUGGUGUCCCCGAACAACAGGCAGCCAUCGCAGCGCUUCUUCUACGCCGCCGCCACGUCCUCCUCCUCCUCCUCGCAGACGAAGGUGCGCCUGCUCCGCCAGGCGGAGGAUCCCAAUGCGGCGCCGGCUGCACUGGAGGGCAGUUGCUGUCAAGGAGCAGCCGCCGAAGCUGGAAAACCAUUGACGCUGCCACUGGCCGUGUCCGCUGAGCUGACCAACGUGACCGCCGACUACGACGUGUCCGGCGAGAUGCCCUCCUCCAAGGAAAACUUCAAGCGCAGCAUCAUGAAAUCAACCGUGAGGAAUGCGACGCCGGCGAGCUGCUCCCCGCAACCGACGAUCGUGGAGCUGAAGCCGCCGGCGGAGGAUGAGGCCAACUACUACUACAUGCCGGCAUGUACGCGGAUCAGUCGGUGCAAUGGAUGCUGCGGUUCCACGCUGAUCUCCUGCCAGCCGACGGAGGUGGAGCAGGUGCAGCUGCGGGUGCGCAAGGUGGACCGGGCGGCCACCAGCGGUCGCAGACCCUUCACCAUCAUCACCGUGGAGCAGCACACGCAGUGCCGCUGCGAUUGCCGCACAAAGGCGGAGGACUGCAACGUGUACCAGUCGUAUCGCAAGGAUCUGUGCCGCUGCGAGUGCCACAACACGGACGCGAGGGACAAGUGCCUGGAGCAGGCGGAGAACAAGUACUGGGUGGACGACAACUGCACCUGCGUCUGUCGCUACAACCAGAGCUGCACCACCGGCACCGUCUUCGAUGAGACGCAGUGCAAGUGCACCGACGUGAGUGGCUCCCGAUAGGACACACCAGUGGCUCCCUUUGAGGCUCCACGGGCAGGGAUCUGGUCUGGUUUCGAUCUGGUCUGGUCUGGGGAUCGGUUGUGCUCGUCCUUGGUUGGUUUGCGGUUGCUUCCUGGUGGUGGCUCCCUAGCUUAAGCUGUCCCGACAAGUUCCUCGCUUAUUUAUUGUAUUUCUUCUGUAUUUUUAAUAGUUUCUUGGCCAUUUAUAGAACUACUUAAUAAUAGAGUUUGAAAGCUAUUGCUUAGAAGUAUUUUCAAAAUCACAGAAGUUCACUCUGCGCGAAUUCUUUAGCACUAUUUGUAGUAGUUUCCGCCUAGAAGUUUACUCCGUUUGAUUUGACAUAUUAAACCAACCAACAUUUCCAAAUAAUUUGCAGUUAAAGUAGUGCUUUGGUUAGUGAAAAACAUUAAGUAGAUAUUAGUUCACAGUACUCAGGUUCCACUGUUUCGCUUUUGGCUUUUGCUUAAACUUAGAGUAGACUGUUUUAAUACUGUUUAUUACUGUUUGUUCAACUGCUGGCACACACUCCAUACCUUUUACGUAAUAUUAAAAAUGUCGAGUAUUAUUCUUAGAGUCCACAAAAAACACAACACACACACACAACACACAAAAUAUGUUCGAUUGCGAAUGCUAAAACUCUUGUGAUACUGUUUAAAUUAACUUUCUCGAACAAAAGAACUAACUUUAAAUUAGCAACUUCUGCUUAGCGAUUGGUUAAGGAUUGACAAAUAAAUGAAAAUACACUUAAUAAAUAUAUAGCUGAGUUGAGGCAAAAGAAGGGAGAAGGGAGUUGCAUUGUCCGGCUGCACCCAUCAAUGUUUUGGACCGCAAGCGCUUCAUUGUCCAGGCGGUACAGGUGGACCCCGAUAACACCACCCUGUACAGCGUUUGAGGAGUACGAACGCCAGCUUCCUAGCGGGGAAUCCCCGAGUACUGAGAAGGCAAUUGCCGUGGAAUUGCACCCUGUACUUUAUAUUAUUUAUAGUUACCGAUUAAACCUAGGCUAAAACUGCAUUCCCCCUUACACUUAACACACAGUAUUUACCCCCUUUGAAAGAACUGCGGCACAAGCAAAAACUUUAAAUGGUUGCGCAGCAAUCUCUGCUGAAAUCUCUCUCUACUUUCAAAUACAUUUUCAAAGUAUUUUAGACCUUUUAGAGAUUUCUGCGCAUAUCCUGUACAUUAAUUUUUAUGAAUUUGUUUAUAUAACCUUUUAAGCGCCUUUUCCUUUGUCGCGGCUUUGUGCACAUUUGUUGAUUUCCGUUUGUUUAAGUUUUAAGUCAUCCUUAAUGAGUUGUCCACAAAUUAAACGCUUUCCAAUAAUCCGCCGUACUUCAUAUGCAUGUAACUUUUUUUUUGUAAAAAAAUGUUAGACUUAAGUUUACGUAAAGAAAAUACAGACAAAGUGUUGAAUUAUUA